UACGAAGGGGGCUAGCGUUGCUCGGAAUCACUGGGCGUAAAGCGCACGUAGGCGGAUUGCUAAGUCAGGGGUGAAAUCCUGGAGCUCAACUCCAGAACUGCCCUUGAUACUGGCGGUCUCGAGUCCGGGAGAGGUGAGUGGAACUGCGAGUGUAGAGGUGAAAUUCGUAGAUAUUCGCAAGAACACCAGUGGCGAAGGCGGCUUGCCAGAACGCGCUCGACGGUGAGGGAUGAAAGCUGGGGGAGCAAACCGG
rnacentral:rRNA from 1 species